rnacentral:rRNA from 1 species
GUUGAAGCGCGGGUAAGACCGCGUGGAGGACCGAACCCACCUGGGUUGAAAACCGGGGGGAUGACCUGGGGCUAGGGGUGAAAGGCCAAUCAAAUUCCGUGAUAGCUGGUUCUCUCCGAAAUGCAUUUAGGUGCAGCGUCGGUUGAUUGCAUCGCGGGGGUAGAGCUACUGGAUGCUUGCGGGCCCGUAUGGGGUACCAAUAGCAGCCAAACUCCGAAUACCGUGGAUGUGUAUUCCGGCAGUGAGUCGGCGGGGGAUAAGCUCCGUCGUCGAGAGGGAGACAGCCCAGACCGUCGUCUAAGGUCCCGAAGCGUGUGCUAAGUGGGAAAGGAUGUGGAGUCGCAUAGACAGCCAGGAGGUUGGCUCAGAAGCAGCCAUCCUUGAAAGAGUGCGUAACAGCUCACUGGUCUAGUGGUUCCGCGCCGACAAUGUAGCGGGGCUCAAGCACACCACCGAAGACGCGGCAGCAGUCCUUUGGCUGCUGGGUAGGAGAGCGUCCCGCGUGGGGCGAAGCGGCCGUGGAAACGUGCCGUGGACCGCGCGGGAGUGAGAAUGCAGACAUGAGUAGCGAGAGACGGGUGAGGAUCCCGUCCGCUGGAUGACCAAGGGUUCCGGGGCCACGUUCGUCGUCCCCGGGUGAGUCGGGUCCUAAGGCGAGGCCGACAGGCGUAGUCGAAUGGAUGAACGGGUGGAUAUUCCCGUACCGGCGGCGUACCGUAAGAGCCGAACGGAUGAGUACUAACCUCCGGUCGCGUGGCGUCGUUCCCUUCGGGGUUCGGGGUCGCGUGGCUGUUGGGAGCGUAGUCCUGGUAGGCUAGCGCACAGGGGUGACACGGAAUGGGAGCCGGCCGCGGAGGUGGUUUUCCGUGGUCAAGCACGCAGCCCGUCCCAUAGGCAAAUCCGUGGGACGCAUAGGGUGAGGUGUGAUGAUGGGCGUCCUUUGGACGCGAUAUCCGGUGGUCCAGGCCGUCGAGAAAAGCCUCGGCGCGAGGGGCGUCGCCGCCCGUACCCCAAACCGACACUGGUGGUCAGGUAGAGAAUACCAAGGCGAUCGAGCGAAUCCUGGUCAAGGAACUCGGCAAAUCACUCCCGUGCCUUCGGUAUAAGGGAGACCCCCGGGCGUGAAGAGGCUUGCCCUCGGAGCGUUGGGGGGUGGCACAGACCAGGGGGUAGCGACUGUUUACCAAAAACACAGGUGCAUGCGAAGGCGCAAGCCGCUGUAUAUGCACUGACGCCUGCCCGGUGCCGGAAGGUUAAGAGGAUCCGUCAGCCUUCGGGUGAAGCGGUGAAUUCAAGCCCCGGUAAACGGCGGUGGUAACUAUAACCAUCCUAAGGUAGCGAAAUUCCUUGUCGGGUAAGUUCCGACCUGCACGAAUGGCGUAACGACUUCCCCACUGUCUCGACCAGGAGCUCGGCGAAAUUGCAGUACGAGUAAAGAUGCUCGUUAAGCGCAGAAGGACGAAAAGACCCCGGGACCUUUACUAUACCUUGGUAUUGGCGUUAGGCGCGGAUUGUGUAGCAUAGGCGGGAGGCUUCGAAGCAUGGGCGCCAGCCCGUGUGGAGCCGCAAGGUGAAAUACCGCUCUGUUCUCGUUUGACGUCUAACCUCGAACAGUCAUCCUGUUCAGGGACAGUGCCUGGCGGGUAGUUUAACUGGGGCGGUUGCCUCCCAAAGAGUAACGGAGGCGCUCAAAGGUCCGCUCAGCCCGGUUGGCAAUCGGGUUUCGAGUGUAAUCGCACAAGCGGGCUUGACUGCGAGAACGACGGUUCGGGCAGGGACGAAAGUCGGAGAUAGUGAUCCGGUGCCGGCGCACGGGCGCGGCAUCGCUCAACGGAUAAAAGGUACCCCGGGGAUAACAGGCUGAUCAUUCCCAAGAGUCCAUAUCGACGGGAUGGUUUGGCACCUCGAUGUCGGCUCGUCGCAUCCUGGGGCUGGAGCAGGUCCCAAGGGUUCGGCUGUUCGCCGAUUAAAGCGGCACGCGAGCUGGGUUCAGAACGUCGUGAGACAGUUUGGUCUCUAUCCUCUGCGCUCGUUGGAAUCCUGAGGAGGCCUGCCCAUAGUACGAGAGGACCUGGGUGGACGGACCUCUGGUAUGCCGGUUGUCGCGCCAGCGGCAUGGCCGGUUGGCUACGUUCGGGAGGGAUAACCGCUGAAAGCAUCUAAGCGGGAAGCCUGCUCCAAGAUUAGGAUUCCUUGACGCUCCCCGGAGCGUUUGUAGCCCGCAUGUUGAACACGUGUUCGAUAGGCCGGAGGUGGAAGUCCCGCGAGGGGUGGAGCCGACCGGUACUAACGGGCGAACGCGGCACAC